AGUGGGGUGUGGUGUGUGAAAGGAUUUGGAUGGUGAUCCACUCAAGUGUUGGUUUUGUAUUCCAAUUUUCAAUGCGUGUGUAAAAUAUGAUGCAACUUAUCUUGUUGAAAACUUGGAAGCAAAGCAUUGUUAGAAAAAAUGUGGCAAGCGAACGUGGAAGAUCAGCGUUUGACUUGCUUCAUAAUACAUCAGAUUCAGCCAUUUGUGCAAUGCAGAAAAACUUAGAUCCUGCAAUUUUACAUGUCAAGUGUAAGUUACAAAACUCACUAUAUGUAGCUGCAAAAAAUGGAGAGAAUACGAACCUGUAGCAGUCUAAUGAAAAAGACAUGGAGUAUAAUCAACACGAAAUUAUUACCUUCAAAACUGUUUCUCUUUUGACAUUUAUAUAAUUGCGAAAGAAACUAAAGGAGACAGUGUUAGAGAGGAAGAUUCUUAAUCUCAUAUAUUCUGUUAAAUGUAAAUGAGAUGUGUUAGUGUGAUUCAUUGUAAUUAAUUAUUGCAAGAUGUUGUUCAAAUAUAUGUUCUUCAUAUAUUUUGAACUUUUGUUAAGAAAAAACCAAUGUAUGGUGGUGUUGAGUUGAAUUCACUGGCUUCAAAUUCUGAAAAUCUGCAGAGAAUUGAAGAUCCAUAAGAAGCAAGAAGGCACUGCUUAAGUAAUAUGUAAUUAGCUGCGAACAAGAAACAUCCAUGUUAGAAGACAAUU
rnacentral:lncRNA from 1 species